rnacentral:rRNA from 1 species
UUCCGGUUGAUCCUGCCGGACCUGACUGCUAUCGGAUUGAUACUAAGCCAUGCGAGUCAUUGUAGCAAUACAAGGCAGACGGCUCAGUAACGCGUAGUCAACCUAACCUAUGGACGGGAAUAACCUCGGGAAACUGAGUAUAAUGCCCGAUAGAACAUUAUGCCUGGAAUGGUUUAUGUUCCAAAUGAUUUAUCGCCGUAGGAUGGGACUGUGGCCUAUCAGUUUGUUGGUGAGGUAAUGGCCCACCAAGACUAUUACAGGUACGGGCUCUGAGAGGAGUAGCCCGGAGAUGGGUACUGAGACACGGACCCAGGCCCUAUGGGGCGCAGCAGGCGAGAAAACUUUGCAAUGUGCGAAAGCACGACAAGGUUAAUCCGAGUGGUUUCUGCUAAAGGAACCUUUUGUUAGUCCUAGAAACACUAACGAAUAAGGGGUGGGCAAGUUCUGGUGUCAGCCGCCGCGGUAAAACCAGCACCUCAAGUGGUCAGGAUGAUUAUUGGGCCUAAAGCAUCCGUAGCCGGCUCUGUAAGUUUUCGGUUAAAUCUGUACGCUUAACGUACAGGCUGCCGGAAAUACUGUGGAGCUAGGGAGUGGGAGAGGUAGACGGUACUCGGGAGGGAGGGGUAAAAUCCUUUGAUCUCUCGAUGACCACCUGUGGCGAAGGCGGUCUACCGGAACACGUCCGACGGUGAGGGAUGAAAGCUGGGGGAGCAAACCGGAUUAGAUACCCGGGUAGUCCCAGCUGUAAACUAUGCAAACUCAGUGAUGCAUUGGCUUGUGGCCAAUGCAGUGUUGCAGGGAAGCCGUUAAGUUUGCCGCCUGGGAAGUACGUACGCAAGUAUGAAACUUAAAGGAAUUGGCGGGGGAGCAC